GAUGAACGCUGGCGGCGUGCCUAAUACAUGCCAGUCGAGCGAACAGACGAGGAGCUUGCUCCUCUGACGUUAGCGGCGGACGGGUGAGUAACACGUGGAUAACCUACCUAUAAGACUGGGAUAACUUCGGGAAACCGGAGCUAAUACCGGAUAAUAUAUUGAACCGCAUGGUUCAAUAGUGAAAGACGGUUUUGCUGUCACUUAUACAUGGAUCCGCGCCGCAUUAGCUAGUUGGUAAGGUAACGGCUUACCAAGGCAACGAUGCGUAUCCGACCUGAGAGGGUGAUCGGCCACACUGGAACUGAGACACGGUCCAGACUCCUACGGGAGGCAGCAGUAGGGAAUAUUCCGCAAUGGGCGAAAGCCUGACGGAGCAACGCCGCGUGAGUGAUGAAGGUCUUCGGAUCGUAAAACUCUGUUAUUAGGGAAGAACAAAUGUGUAAGUAACUAUGCACGUCUUGACGGUACCUAAUCAGAAAGCCACGGCUAACUACGUG
rnacentral:rRNA from 1 species